AAUCAACGCUGGCGGCGUGCCUAACACAUGCAAGUCGCACGAGAAAGGGGAGCAAUCCCUGAGUAAAGUGGCGCACGGGUGAGUAACACGUGAAUGAUCUACCUCCGAGUGGGGAAUAACUGAGAGAAAUCUUAGCUAAUACCGCAUAAUACCCACGGGUCAAAGCAGCAAUGCGCUUGGAGAGGAGUUCGCGGCCGAUUAGCUAGUUGGCGGGGUAAUGGCCCACCAAGGCGAUGAUCGGUAUCCGGCCUGAGAGGGCGCACGGACACACUGGAACUGAAACACGGUCCAGACUCCUACGGGAGGCAGCAGUGGGGAAUUUUGCGCAAUGGGGGAAACCCUGACGCAGCAACGCCGCGUGGAGGAUGAAGCCCCUUGGGGUGUAAACUCCUUUCGAUCGGGAAGAUAAUGACGGUACCGAUAUAAGAAGCCCCGGCUAACUUCGUGCCAGCAGCCGCGGUAAUACGAGGGGGGCAAGCGUUGUUCGGAAUUAUUGGGCGUAAAGGGUGCGUAGGCGGUUUGACAAGUCUGAUGUGAAAUCUAUGGGCUCAACCCAUAGUCUGCAUUAGAAACUGUCGGGCUUGAGUAUGGGAGAGGUGAGUGGAAUUUCCGGUGUAGCGGUGAAAUGCGUAGAUAUCGGAAGGAACACCUGUGGCGAAAGCGGCUCACUGGACCAUAACUGACGCUGAGGCACGAAAGCUAGGGGAGCAAACAGGAUUAGAUACCCUGGUAGUCCUAGCCCUAAACGAUGAUUGUUUGAUGUAGCAGGUACCCAAUCCUGCUGUGUCGAAGCUAACGCGAUAAACAAUCCGCCUGGGGAGUACGGUCGCAAGGCUG
rnacentral:rRNA from 1 species